AUUGUAGUCUGCAACUCGACUACAUGAAGCUGGAAUCGCUAGUAAUCGCGAAUCAGCAUGUCGCGGUGAAUACGUUCCCGGGUCUUGUACACACCGCCCGUCACACCAUGGGAGUUGGUAACGCCCGAAGCCAGUGACCCAACCGGAAACGGAGGGAGCUGUCGAAGGUGGGACCGAUAACUGGGGUGAAGUCGUAACAAGGUAGC
rnacentral:rRNA from 1 species